rnacentral:rRNA from 1 species
GACGUAGGAGGCGAGCGUUGUCCGGAUUCAUUGGGCGUAAAGAGCGCGCAGGCGGCUUGGUAAGUCGGAUGUGAAAACCCGAGGCUCAACCUCGGGCGUGCAUCCGAAACUGCUCGGCUAGAGGUAGGUAGGGGAGAUCGGAAUUCCUGGUGUAGCGGUGAAAUGCGCAGAUAUCGGGAGGAACACCAGUGGCGAAGGCGACUUCCUGGCCUGUUCGUUGACGCUGAGGCGCGAAAGCUGGGGGAGCGAACGGG